rnacentral:lncRNA from 1 species
UCUGGUUAGCUCUCCUCCUCCUGGUCGUUGGGGUCAUACGCUCUCUUGUGUCAACGGCUCUCGUUUAGUAGUCUUUGGAGGAUACGGGAGCCAUGGAUUACUCAACGAUGUCUUCUUACUAGACCUUGAUGCAGACCCUCCUACAUGGAGAGAAGUAUCCGGUUUAGCUCCCCCAAUACCAAGAUCAUGGCAUAGCUCGUGUACGCUUGAUGGAACCAAGCUGAUUGUAUCUGGUGGUUGUGCUGAUUCAGGAGCUUUGCUUAACGAUACGUUCUUGCUUGAUUUGUCAAUGGAUAUACCGACGUGGAGGGAGAUAAGAGUUCCAUGGUCUCCACCAUCUCGCCUUGGACAUACUUUAACCGUGUACGGUGACAGGAAGAUCCUUAUGUUUGGUGGUCUUGCGGAGUAUGGUUCGAGGAGGUUCCGGUCUAAUGAUGCGUACACGAUGAAUCUUAGUGAGAAUGAGCCGUGCUGGAGACCUUUGGUUGGGUAUGGAACUAGCCUUCCUGGAGGCGUGGCAGCUCCGAGGUUGGAUCAUGUGGCGAUUAGUCUCCCGGGUGGGCAGAUCUUGAUCUUUGGUGGUUCGGUUGCGGGGAUUGACUCGGCUUCUCAGCUUUAUCUUCUUGAUCCAACGGAGGAGAAACCGGCGUGGAGAGUGUUGAAUGUUAAGGGAAGCUCACCGCAGUUUGCGUGGGGACACACGACAUGUGUGGUCGGAGGAACUAGGUUGGUUGUGUUUGGUGGGCAGACAGGUGAAGAGUGGAUGCUAAAUGAAGCUCAUGAGCUGUUGUUAGCCAACUCUAGUACUAAAAUCACAUCAUCAAGACAUGGAGAGAAGAGGCUCUUCUAGAAAUGGAAACUCUAGAUGGUUCUUAGUUGCUCUGUACAUGGUGAGUUUGUUGAGUUUGAGACGUCCAUGUUUUGUUAGUAUUUUGAUUUUAAGGGUAUUUGUAUAUUCUACAUUACGAAUUUUAUUUGUAUAUUCCUUCUUGUGUAGUACAAUUUUGUAGGUGACCGGAUGAUCCAAAAACCAAACUUAAUGUUUAAUCUGUUUUAUUUAUCUACUGUUUGCUUUAAAUCUGUUCAAAUUAUAUGAAAAUUUUACACUGGUAAUGUUAAAAUUUAAAUUUAGUACUUCGCCAAAAACUUCUACCUUUAUUAAAUAAGAAUAUAAAUGGUGAAAUUUCUGUGUUUGUCUAGAAAGUUGGAUUCUAUGAUGCAAAUGAUGUUAAAAUUACAGAGGUGUUAGACUAUGGACCUCUUUUAGGUUUUUGUUCCUGAGGAAAUCUUGUAAUCCACCAGCUCGUAUUAUGACUCUGUAUUCCACCUUUGAUCAAUAAUAUUUCAAAUGAACAAAAAACAAGUGAAGUUUCAGUUUUGGUCUGGAGAUUUGGUUUCUAUGAUAUGCAAAUGGUGUAAUACUAUAGGCUAUGGACCUGGUGACGGUGAAAAUAGAGGUACAUGGUGACAUAGGGUGGCAUAGGUCUUUUUUGCUGAUGGUGUUGCAGUUAUUCUUUCAACACUAGUUCAAUUUCUAUUUUAUUUUAUUUUUUGCGGCUUUAGUUUGUGGGAUGGGAUGCUUGGUUUUGUCACUCAUGUUGUGAUCAUUUCUCUUUGUAGGUACUAGGUUGUGAUAUAUGAUCAUGGUUAGAGUUGGUUAUGAUGUUUUAUGUCCCAUGAUUUCCUUUUGCAUUAGGUUAUCAUUAAGCGCAUCAAGACAAUGUUAUGAGGCUUGAAGUUGUUGUUGACAUGUCAACAGUGGUUAAUCAAUGCGCGGAUAUCAAAACCAGACAAAAGGUCUUAAAGUAUGGUUGUGCAUUUAACAUUAAGAGAGUGAUUGAUCGUUAUAUCAACAACCAUGUCAGACAAAACAAGAAAUAACAUUACAUGUGUUGUUGGUUUUGUGGGAAAUUUGAACAUAAGAAAAUGGAUUAUAUCAAAAGUCUUGAAAGUGAUGAAGGGAUCAUUCAUACAGUAUAGAUUAUAGCAAUGAUACAUCUUGCUCUCGUUGAGGAAGACAUCAAUCUCCAUAUGCAUUAGCUACUUUGGUCAGAAACUCAACACAAGUUUUGACCAAGGAAUUUGAUAACAAUAUAUAUUGCGUUAAUAUGAUACGGUUCUCAAAAGUAAACCAUUCCGUUUCUGCUGGAGUUACUAAAGGUUCUUUCUGCAACCAGGUCUAGACGUUAUCCAUGUGUUUAUGAUAUGGAUAUAUAGUUAUAUACUAACCAUGUCAUUUUUUUUGUUACCAAUUGCAUGUUGAGCUAAUUUUAAUAUAUUAAAGGGAACUAGAAUUAAAAAAAAAAUUAAACGGAAUUCUUUUAUUAUAUCAGUUUUCAAGUUUUUGGUUUUGGCUCAUCAGGUCACCUACAAAAUUUUACUACAAAAGGAAUAUACAAAUCAAAUUCUUAAAUUUUGCAUAUACAAAUACCAUUAAAUCAAAAUAUUAACAAACACAUGGGACGUCUCAAACUCACAAGCUCACCAUGUACAGAGCAACUAAGAAACAUUUGAGUUUUCAUUCUGAAUAAAAACACCUAGAAGACCCUCUUCUCUUCAUGUCUUGAUGAUGCUGUAGUAGCAGAGGUAGCUAACAACAAUUCAUGAGCUUCAUUUAGCAUCCACUCUUCUCCUGUUUGACCACCUAAGAUGACCAACCUAGUCCCUCCCACCACACAAGUGGUGUGCCCCCACGCAAUCUGCGGUGGACUUCCCUUAACACUCAGUAUCCUCCACGCCGGAUUCUCCUCCGUAGGAUCAAGAAUAUAAAGCUGAGAAGCAGAGUCAAGCCCUGCAACCGAACCGCCAAAUAUCAAGACUCUACCACCAGGAAGGCUAACCGCCACAUGGUCUAGCCUUGGCGGUGGAGCUGCCAUGCCUCCUGGAAGGCUAGAUCCAUACCCAAUCACCGGUCUCCAGCACGGUUCAUCCUCGCUAAGAUCCAUCGUGUAGACAUCGUUAGACCGGAAUCUCAAAGUUCCGGAUUUUGCAAGACCACCGAACAUAAGGAUCUUGCGGUCACCGUACACGGUUAAGGUAUGUCCAAGGCGAGAUGGAGGAGACCAUGGAACAGGUAUCUCCCUCCAAGUUGGUGUAUCCAUUGACAAAUCAAGCAAGAACGUAUCGUUAAGCAGAGCUCCUGAAUCAGCACAACCACCAGAUACUAUCAGCUUGGUUCCAUCGAGUGUGCACGAGCUAUGCCAUGAUCUUGGUAUGGGAGGGGCUAAACCGGAUACUUCUCUCCACGUCGGAGGGUCUGCAUCAAGGUCUAACAUGAAGACAUCAUUGAGUAAUCCAUGGCUCCCAUAACCUCCAAAGACUACUAAACGAGAGCCGUUGACACAAGAGAGCGUAUGACCCCAGCGACCAGGAGGAGGAGAGCUAACCAGAACAGACUUCCACUCAGGACUAGUGGAGCCAAGGUCCAACACAAACGUAUCAUUCAUCGGUUGCAUAUUCACACCUUCCCCGCCAAAGAUAACAAUCCUAUUCCCAACCGCACAGGCGCUGAAGUUACACCGAGAAGGCUCAACAGUACCACCAAACGAAAACUUCCUCCACGCAGUUACUUCAUGCGUUGUAAACUCUCGGGCCAGUCGCCCCCAACCGAUCCUCUUUGCACCGGGAACACUCUCGAGAACACGUGUGGCUUCGGUCCCCCACGUGUUUUGACAAACCAUUCUCCACACGUCAUCGUUCUUCGUCAACUCAUUUAGCCGCCGACACACGCAACCGACCGAUGCAAUGUCAGGGGGAGUCAGCUUUGACAAUAUCUUGAGAGCUAUUACCUCAUCGCUCAGAUCGAAUAUACCACCUAGUCCGCGAGAGACGUUGCGAUCUCCGGUUGGUGAAGCAGAGGCAAAUGAGCGAGAUCUUCUUGGGAUUGGUUUUGUAGACAAGUCUGGAAAGGGGCCGAGAUCGAUUUCUGCAUCUGUGAAGGAGAGAACGCCUAUGAAAUGAGUGAUCUCGUCUUCUUCACGGAUGGGGACUAGACGCAGCUUGUUCAUCAAAGGAGACCCGUCUUUCCUGAAGUUGAGUAACUCUCCCUGAAACUCGAUGCCUUUUUCUAGACACUGUCGCAUCUUGGAGACAACUGUGGAAUCUACUGAGGGAUGUCGUCUUUUAGCAUAUGGCCCUCUACACUGCAAGAACCGGCUGCCAUAAGAAGAAGAAACAUAUCAGAAGGGAACUAACAACGUAACAGAUAAGAGUAUUUGAGCGAAUGAUCCCUCACAAGUAAUAGAAGAAAGAUCAAAUAAAUAACAGUUCACUAAUGCCAAAGAAAGAAAACAUAUCACAAAGACGUAGCUCUCCCAGUCUUCCGCAACAACACGAAGACAUGAGACACAUACUAUGUAGUUGGCGUUAAUCAGGCAAUACUGAAAACACUAUAAGUAACAUGUAUCCUCCUCACUUGAUAGCUUUGUUCCUCUAUAACCAACUAUCAAUUGUAUGAUUUCGACUUGUUCCCGAUAUGUUUUCUAGUUAAGACUACAAAAAGAACGUAUUCAAGCUCCUCAACAAGCUCUCUAGUAACAUCGUAUUCAUACCACAAGAUUCUCUACUUCAGGGUAAAGAAGAAGGCAAGCCCUCUAGUAACAUCUCAACAACGUCUCUAGUAAAAAAAGUAUUCAAGCUCCUCAACAAGCUAUCUAGUGACAUCACAUCCAUACCACAAGAUUCGCUACUUCAAAAUUAAAGGGUAAAGAAACUCUCUAGUAACAUCGAAUCCAAGCUCCUCAAGAAGAAUUUAUAAAUUUCCCCCCGACAAAACAGAGCUCUCUCUAGUAACAUCGUAUCCAACCUAACUUACCAGCUAGUACUUGAUUGAAUGAUCCUUCGCGAGCAAUAGAGCAAAGAUCAAAUUAUACGCAUAUAACCUAAGUUAAAUGAUGCAAAAAAGAAAGAAAACAUAUCACAAAGACAAAGCCUCCUCAUCUCUCAUACACACAAAAUGAUACUGAAAACAUUAGAAGUAACAUGUAUCCUCCUCCUCACUUUAUAGCUUUGUUCCUCUAUGACCAACUUCGGAUUCCAAAAGAAGGUAUUCAAGAUCCCCAAUAAGAACCAUAUUAAUGGAAGCUCUCUCUCUCUAGUAACAUCAUUCAUGACAGACACACAAAGUAUGUAGUGGCAAUUCAGACAAAAACAAAGCUUGUCUAGUAAACAGUACAAAGACAAAGUUCAAAGUCUUCUCUAAAGCAUCACAAACUAUAUAGUUGGCGUCCCUAAACAGUAAUUCAGACAAGACAAAAGCAGCAAAAAUUGAAGGAAAGUAAGCUCACCAGUUUCUACCAAUAACUUCCUCAGCUCGAUACCCAGUAACAAUCUCGAAGACGGCGUUGACGUAAAUGAUUGGUUGGUCUGGCUCUAGAGCGUCGCUGACCACAAACCCACACGGCGUCGUUCCAGGAAGACUAAUCUCCGGAAACGGAACCGGCCCGCUACCUCCGCCGAACCAUCCAUCAUCAGCCACCUCAUCUCCGCCGCUAAGAUCGGAAUCGCUGUCCCACUCCAUUUUGAUUUUGCAACCAAAUAAAAGGGGGGAAAGGCUCGAAAUUGAGACAAACCCAGAAAUCGCAAUUGAAAACCCAGCAGAAGAAGAUGAAAAAGAUUUGAUUUUUGAUUAAGAGCCAAGCAAAGCAAUCGAGAGAGGAAGAUGAUAUUUGAAGAUGAAAGAAGAAGAAAGAGGGGAUUGAUUCGGGUCGGGACUAUAUGGGAUCUCAGUGCCUCUCCUUUAUUUAUCUUAACCGGUUUCUCAGUUUCUUUUACCUUCCCGGUUUACAGAUAUUAUCUACGUUUCCCCGUUUUAAUUUCAUUACCUCCCUCCUUGCAUUCCAGUGGUUUAGGGAUUUGGAUUUUUCGUCUGGUUUGUUUUGGUUUGGUUUUUUAAUACAUAGUCACAUACAUCUCAAGUGAGUCUCUUCUUUUUUUCUUCGUCAACAAAUUUUAUUGAAAGCAAAGAUCAGUUCCAUACAACACCAACAUAUACAAGAUCUUUCCAUUUUCCAUGGUCAGCUAAACCGGAAAAAAACAAAGAUAUCUUAUAAGUUGGCAGUGCCUCUAACUUUUGUGCAGAAGAGGAUGAGGUCGAAGAGAGAGCAGAGACGUGGCUAGAAAGUAAUGAAGAGGAAGAGGAGAGACUCCCUCUGAGAUAGAGGUUUAGAGUCAUAUGAAUAAAAGAAGACGCUGUCGUUUUAUAUUUACGUUUACUACUUAUGUUGAGAGCUUGUAAACAUUUGAUCUUAUCAUAAUUGAUCACAACAAAUAUCUUAUCCUCUUAUCUCUUUCUUCUAUACUUCUCCCCUUUCUUGUUACAAUCAGAUAACCCCUAACCUAGGGUUUAUCAUUGGCAUCAGAGCCUGAUCAUGCCUCCUAAGCAAGAUCAGCAAGCUGAGAAGGUCUCAGCGAUGGAGGGUCAGAUCGCGAGUCUCGUGGGUGUGAUUGAUGGGUUACGAGGCGUGGCGGAGAGACAUGACCGCCAGUUCGUAGCGAUGGAGAAAAACGCAGACGAACAUCACCAGCAAGUCAUGGAGAUGUUCAAGCAGCUACCGGCGAGGGUAGCCAGCCCGGAGAAGGUUGAAUCGAAGGAGAGUUACCGUGAGACCGAGGGAUCUGUUCCUAAGGCUCAAAGGUUACAGAUCCGGCCAGAGAAGGGCCUUUUGCAGGUACCGGAGGAGGCGAUACCCCUUAGAUCGAUGGAUUUCAACACCCCGUCGUAUCAAGCGGGAUCAUCAGGGUUUUCAGCUCAUCAGAAGCUGGAUUCUCCUCCGAAGAAGCUAGAGCUACCGAACUUUGAAGGGAAGAACCCAGAUGAUUGGAUCUUCCGAAUGGAGAAAUGCUUCUCUGUUAAUAAAACCGAUGAAGGAGAAAAGUUGUCGCUAACUAUGUCAAGCAUGACGGGUUGUGCAGUCACUUGGCUGAGGACGAUACAGAACCGAGAAGAGCCGUUGGACUGGAGGGAUUUUAAGGCCAAGCUGAGGCGACGAUUUAAACCAUCGGGAGGAGGUACUAUACUCAGUCAGAUGCUGCGGUUGAGACAAACAGGAACCGUAUCAGAAUACCGUGAGAUGUUUGAGGAGUUAUCAGCUGAAGUGCCUCAUGUGCCAAACGACGUGUUAGAAGAAAUAUUCUUGCGCGGAAUGAAGCGUACAUUGCGAGAGCAAGUGGUGAGAUUGAGACCUGUAGGCAUGGAUGAGAUCGUAGACAUGGAAAAGAUCAUAGAGGAACAAGAGAACGAGCGCAGUGCCUACCAGUCUAGAUCCUUUCAAAGGACUAGCUCUGCACCGGCACUUAACUCGAAUCACCGAAGCUAUUCAUCCAAUUAUAGUUCGGUAAGACAAGGAGAGAAUACACCUGCGAGAAAGUCUAGUGAGUCACCACGAGACAACAAGGGCAGUGAGCAGAGGAGAACAAUCCAAAACUCUUGUCGUCAUUGUGGAGAGAGGUUCUUUGCGGGUCACAGAUGCAAGGCUUUCCAGCGUUUAAAAAAAAUGGAAUUGGAUGAAGGUGAAGAAAAGGAUGAGGAGGUGGUUAGCGAUGAGGAAAGAUCUGAGGAGCAGAAUACGUCCGAGCAAGAGUUACACGUCUUGUCAUUAAACUCGAUGGUGGGAAUCACAUCCAAGAAAACCAUGAAGAUGAAAGGGUUUAUUGGCAAGAGAGAAGUGAUCGUUCUCAUUGAUUCCGGCGCCACUUGUAACUUUAUAUCCAAACAACUGGUGGAAGAGUUGAGUCUUCCAGUGGAGGAGACUAUAGACUUUGGAGUGGCAGUGGGAAAUGGAGAAGUUAUUGCUGGAUCGGGAAAGUGUGAAGGAGUCGAAGUGAAGAUACAAGGAGUUAAGAUUAAGGAGGAAUUUUUAAGAUUUGAGCUGGGAACAAUAGACUUGGUGCUGGGAUACUCGUGGUUGGCUAAGCUGGGAGAGACACGCAUCAAUUGGGGGUUACACAUUUUGCGGUUUCAGUCAGAGGAGAAAUGGGUGUCAAUAUGCAGUGAUCCGGAGUUGCUAACUGCGCAAGUGUCUUUAAAUGCCAUGGAGAAGCUCUGUGAAAAGGAGGAUGUGGUUUACCUGCUGGAAUUACAGACAUUGUUCGAGAGUAAUGAUAAGAAGAUCGAGACUGUGCCGAGCAGAGCUGUGUCUGCACUGUUGAAGACCUUUGCGGGGGUGUUUCAAAUGCCAAAGGGACUACCUCCCAAGCGUACGAGAGAACAUGCGAUAACCUUACAAGAUGGAACAUCUCCUAUCAACGUGAGGCCUUAUCGAUACUCACAUACGCAGAAAAAUGAGAUUGAGAAGCUGGUAAAGGAGAUGAUGCAAGCAGGGAUUAUUCACCCGAGCAUUAGCCCAUUCUCGAGUCCAGUGUUGCUGGUAAAGAAGAAAGAUGGAGGGUUAAGGUUUUGUGUAGACUACAGGGCUGUAAACAAAAGCACCAUACCUGAUAGGUAUCCUAUACCCGUGAUCGAGGAGCUGUUGGAUGAGUUAGCAGGAGCUACCAUCAUCUCUAAGCUGGAUUUGAAGUCAGGAUACCAUCAGAUCAGAGUGCGAGCUGAGGAUGUUGGGAAGACUGCUUUCAAAACUCAUGAGGGUCACUACGAGUUCUUGGUUAUGCCUUUCGGGCUCACCAAUGCUUCGGCGACAUUCCAAUCAGUCAUGAACGAUAUUUUCAAGCCGUGGUUGAGGAAAUUUGUCUUGGUAUUCUUUGACGACAUUCUUGUUUACAGCAAGAAUGAAAAAGAGCAUAGAGAACACUUGAGGGUCGUGUUACAGUUGCUAAAAGACCACCAGUUCUAUGCCAUUGCAAAGAAAUGUGCUUUCGGUCAGUCAGAGAUAGCAUAUUUGGGUUAUAUCAUCUCAGGAAAAGGAGUAGCAGCAGACCCUGAGAAGAUAGAAGCGGUAAGACAGUGGCCACAACCCAAGAAUAUUACAUCACUGAGAGGGUUCCUGGGGUUAACGGGUUAUUACCAAAGGUUCGUAGAAGGAUAUGGAAAAAUAGCGCGGCCACUCACGGAUUUUCUGAAGACGAAAGGGUUCAAAUGGUCAGCACAGGCAAUUCAGGCGUUCUUAAUGCUCAAGACGGCCAUGACGCAGCUAGCAGUGUUAAUCUUACCAGACUUCAAGAGGCCAUUUGUGGUGGAGACAGAUGCCUCUGGUGUGGGUAUAGGGGCUGUGCUAUCGCAAGGUGGUCGGCCUAUUGCUUUUAUUAGCAAGGGAUUUUCAAGCACGGGCCGUGUGAAGUCAGUCUAUGAGCGAGAGUUGCUAGCCAUAGUGUUUGCAGUUACUAAGUGGAGACACUUUCUCACUGGUCACAAGUUCACCAUACGAACAUAUCAAAAGAGUCUAAAACAUCUACUGGAGCAGAGGGCGGUUUCUGUUGAGCAACAGAAGUGGGCUUCGAAGUUGUUGGGGCUCAAUUACACUAUUGAGUAUAAGCCCGGGAAGGAGAACAGAGCGGCUGAUGCUCUCUCACGUCUUCCUGGUAAGGAGGAGAUGCGAGAACUUCAAUUAACAGCGCCCCUGACGAUCGAUAAGGAGGAAUUAGCGCUACAGAUAGCUUAAGAUGAGGUUCUUCAGCAGAUUAUUCGGUUUGUGCAAGAAGUAGCAGAGGGAACAGAAGGUUAUAGUGUGAAAGAAGGGUUGCUCCUUAAGGAUAACAGGCUGGUGAUUCCGGCAAAGUCACCAUUUAUCCCAGCUCUCUUGAAGCAAUUUCACAACAGCAGUGUGGGAGGUCAUGAAGGAGUAUUGAAGACAUUUAAGCGAAUGUCUAGAGAAGUGUUGUGGAAAGGUAUGCGCGCAGAUAUCACGGAGUUCAUCAAGGCUUGUACAGUUUGUCAGCAGAAUAAGUAUUCAACACUGUCACCUGCGGGGUUGUUGUCUCCUUUGCCAAUUUCCCUACAGGUCUGGACUGAUAUUAGCCUUGAUUUCGUAGAAGGCCUCCCGUUCUCAAAGGGGUUCGAUGUGAUUCUGGUGGUAGUUGACAGGCUUACUAAGUAUGCCCAUUUCAUUCCUCUCAAGCACCCGUUCACCGCGAAGUCAGUUGCUGAAGUGUUUAUACGAGAGGUGAUUAAGUUACAUGGGUUCCCUGAGACAAUGGUAUCAGAUCGCGACAAAGUCUUCCUGAGUCAGUUCUGGUCUUCAUUGUUCAAGAAUCAGGGCACUGCUCUCCACAAGAGCACAGCUUAUCACCCACAAUCGGAUGGUCAGACGGAGGUAGUGAACCGAUGCUUAGAGGCCUACUUGAGAUGUUUUGCGGGUCGUAAGCCUUCGUCGUGGGUUCAGUGGCUACCGUGGGCAGAAUACUGGUAUAAUACUUCACAUCACUCUGCCACCAACACCACACCCUUCAAGGCGUUGUACGGGCGUGAUCCUCCGAAGUUACUUCGUUUUGGUGAUGUGCCUACUGCAAAUGCGGAGGUUGAAGAGAUGAUAAGAGGGCGUGAUGUGUUACUGCAAGAAUUGCGAGACAAUUUGGCUGUAGCUCAAGCAAGGAUGCAAGCAUCAGCCAACAAGAAGAGAAGAGAUGUGGAGUUUGAUGUGGGAACGUGGGUCUAUCUUAAGCUUCGUCCCUACCGACAGACGUCCGUAGCGUACCGAAGAGCAGAGAAGCUAGCGCCUUGUUUCUUUGGUCCUUAUAAGAUUGAAAAGCGGAUUGGGAAGGUGGCGUAUAAGUUAUUGCUACCGGCACACAGUCUGAUUCACCCUGUUUUUCACGUGUCGCAGUUGAAGCUUGCAGUAGAACCCACAACAAAUGUGCAGGAGCUCCCUUUGAUCAUAUCAUCAUCUUUUGAGUGGAAUGCUGAGCCGGAAGAGUUGGUCGAUAUUCGAAGAUCAGGAAAGGAGAUUGAGGUGUUGGUUAGGUGGUCGGGAUUACCAGAGUUUGAGAAUUCAUGGGAACCGUUGCAGCGUCUUAAGGACCAGUUUCCUCACUGUCAGCUUGAGGACAAACUGGGUCUUCUACGGGAGGGUAAUGAUAAGUUGGCAGUGCCUCUAGCGUUUGUGCAGAAGAGGAUGAGGUCGAAGAGAGAGCAGAGACGUGGCUAGGAAGUAAUGAAGAGGAAGAGGAGAGACUCCCUCUGAAAUAGAGGUUUAGAGUCAUAUGAAUAAAAGAAGACGAUGUCGUUUUAUAUUUACGUUUACUACUUAUGUUGAGAGCUUGUAAACAUUUGAUCUUAUCAUAAUUGAUCACAACAAAUAUCUUAUCCUCUUAUCUCUUUCUUCUAUACUUCUCCCCUUUCUUGUUACGAUCAGAUAACCCCUAACCUAAGGUUUAUCAUUGGUAUCAGAACCUGAUUAUGCCUCCUAAGCAAGAUCAGCAAGCUGAGAAGGUCUCAGCGAUGGAAAAUAUAUCUUUUAUGUUUUUUCGAAUGAAUUUUAAAUUUAUUCAUUAAAAACCCAUUUCUUGUUCAAAUGUUCUAAUACACACAGCAUCACCUUUCUUAAAAAAAUUGAAUCCAUUAAACCAAACCCAAACCAUUAAACCAGUGGUAUGCACUGACCGAAGUGAUCAAAUUAACUCGGGGGGAAAUGAAGAAAUAUGACGUAAACCGGGAAGGUUGAGAAAGCGGUUAAGGUGAAUAAAGGAGAGGUAGUGAGUUCACCGAGUCAUCACAAACCGACCGAAUCAAUUGCUUUACCCACGUGGCUCUUCUUGAUCAAAAUUAAAUUUAUCUUCAUUCUUCUUCUUCUGGCGAUUUCUAGGUUUGGGCUGCAAAAUCGAAUGGAGUGGGACAGCGAUUCCGAUCUCAGCGACGGAGAUGAGGUGGCUGAAGAUGGAUGGUUCGGCGGAGAUAGCGGGCCGGUUCCGUUUCCGGAGAUUAGUCUUCCUGGAACGACGCCGUGUGGGUUUGUAGUCAGCGACGCUCUAGAGCCAGACCAACCUAUCAUCUACGUCAACACCGUCUUCGAGAUUGUCACUGGGUACCGCGCCGAGGAAGUUAUUGGUAGAAACUGGUGAGCUUACUUACCCUUUUGUGCUGUUGAUAAGAUGUUGCUAGACAGAGCUUUGUGUUGAUGGAAAAAAUAGUAACUUUCGAUUCGUUAAUAUGGUUCUUGUUGGUAUGGAUACUAUAGAGGAUCUUGAAUGGUAUUCGUAGCUAGAAAAUUCGAAAUCAUGGAAUUGGAAGUUGGUUAUAGAGGAACAAAGCUAUAAAGUGGAGAGCUUUGUCUUUCUGAUUGUUGAACUGUGUUGUUAAUUUGGUCUUUGUUCUAUUGCUUGUGAGGGAUCAUUCCCUCAACUACUACUCUUAGCUGUUAAGUUGUUUGUUCCCUUCUGAUUUGUUUCUUCUUCUUUUGGCAGCCGGUUCUUGCAGUGUAGAGGUCCAUAUGCUAAAAGAAGGCAUCCCUCUGUAGAUUCCACUGUUGUGUCAAAGAUGCGACAAUGUCUAGAAAAAGGCAUCGAGUUUCAGGGCGAGUUGUUGAACUUCAGGAAAGAUGGGUCUCCUCUGAUGAACAAGCUGCGUCUUGUCCCCAUCCGUGAAGACGACGAGAUCACUCAUUUCAUAGGUGUUCUCUCCUUCACCGAUGCUGAUAUCGAUCUCAGCUCAUUUCCUGACUUGUCUGCAAAAGAAAUUCCAAGAAGAUCUCGUUCAUUUUCCUCUGCUUUACCAACCGGAGAGCGUAAUGUUUCUCGUGGACUAUGUGGGAUAUUCGAGCUGAGUGAUGAGGUAAUAGCUCUCAAGAUACUGUCUCAGUUGGCUCCGUCCGAUAUUGCAUCAGUGGGUUGUGUGUGCCGGCGGCUUAAUGAGGUUACAAAGAACGAUGAUGUGUGGAGAAUGGUUUGUCAAAACACGUGGGGGACCGAAGCUACACGUGUUCUCGAGAGUAUUCCCGGUGAAAAGAGGAUUGGAUGGGUGCGAUUGGCCCGAGAGUUUACCACACAUGAAGCAAAUGCGUGGAGGAAGUUUACGUUUGGUGGUACUGUUGAGCCUUCCCGGUGUAAUUUCAGCGCAUGUGCGGUUGGGAAUAAGAUUGUUAUCUUUGGUGGUGAAGGUGUGAACAUGCAACCGAUGAAUGAUACAUUUGUGUUGGAUCUUGGCUCCACUAGUCCCCAGUGGAAAUCAGUUCUGGUUAACUCUCCUCCUCCUGGUCGCUGGGGUCAUACUCUUUCUUGUGUCGACGGAUCCCAUUUAGUAGUCUUUGGAGGUUACGGGAGCCAUGGAUUACUCAACGAUGUCUUCUUAUUAGACCUUGAUGCAGACCCGCCUACAUGGAGAGAAGUAUCUGGUUUGGCCCCUCCAAUACCAAGAUCAUGGCAUAGCUCGUGCACACUCGAUGGAACUAAGUUGAUUGUAUCUGGUGGUUGUGCUGAUU